rnacentral:rRNA from 1 species
UACAGAGGUCUCAAGCGUUGUUCGGAUUCAUUGGGCGUAAAGGGUGUGUAGGUGGCGCCGUAAGUCGGGUGUGAAAUUUCGGAGCUUAACUCCGAAACUGCAUUCGAUACUGCGGUGCUUGAGGACUGGAGAGGAGACUGGAAUUCAUGGUGUAGCAGUGAAAUGCGUAGAGAUCAUGAGGAAGACCAGUGGCGAAGGCGGGGUCUCUGGACAGUUCCUGACGCUG